rnacentral:pre_miRNA from 1 species
AAUCUAACGGAAUCAUUUCUGCACAGACUAGACUCUGAGAACCAGUGUGCGGAAAUGCUUCUGCUACAUU